GGGGAUUUAGCUCAGUGGUAGAGCGCUUGCCUAGCAAGCACAAGGCCCUGGGUUCGGUCCUCAGCUCCU
rfam:Rattus norvegicus chromosome 4, whole genome shotgun sequence.